GAAGGCAGAGGUCCUGUAAUGUGUGUUUUGGAAACCAGAGUAAAGAGUUUGAUGGGAAACCACUAAAGAGACAAAUUAGAGACUUUGAAAAGAAUCACAUUGUGACGUCUUUUGGAUCUCUUUUAUGGGACCUACCUGCCUGCCUGCAGGCCGGACACUCUCCUCCCUGAGAUCUUCUUUUUCAAAAUGUCAGUUCAAGUCAUUUGACCCAUUUUUGCCAUGCUCACCGCAUUUGGAAAAGCACAGCUCUGGAGAACUGUUUAAGUCUGCAAAAGCUCAAAAGGAGAAAACGACUGGGUAUAUUUUGCCAACAUCUCUUCUAAACCCACAUUGCUG